rnacentral:rRNA from 1 species
AACGAACGCUGGCGGCAGGCCUAACACAUGCAAGUCGAACGAGUAAGAGCCGUAGCAAUACGGAGUUCUGCUAGUGGCGCACGGGUGAGUAACGCGUGGGAACGUGCCUUGGAGUUCGGGAUAACAGUUGGAAACGACUGCUAAUACCGAAUAUUCCCUCAGGGGGAAAGAUUUAUCGCUCCAAGAUCGGCCCGCGUAAGAUUAGGUAGUUGGUGGGGUAAUGGCCUACCAAGCCUACGAUCUUUAGCUGGUCUGAGAGGUCGACCAGCCACACUGGAACUGAGACACGGUCCAGACUCCUACGGGAGGCAGCAGUGGGGAAUAUUGGACAAUGGGCGAAAGCCUGAUCCAGCCAUGCCGCGUGAAUGAUGAAGGCCUUAGGUUGUAAAAUCUUUUGCAGGGGAAGAUAAUGACGGUACCCUGCGAAUAAGCUCGGCUAACUUCGUGCCAGCAGCCGC